CCCUCAUAUAUGUUAUAAUUGACUGAACUUAGAUAUUUAUGGUGAUAAUGACUUCACAUUCCAUUUUAAAUAUAUUAUUUAUACUUAAGGCACAUGUUGAAGUGAAGAUACCUUUGUAAGGGGAGAUAUUUUUUUGUUAAUUGAGGUUGAUAAACUUUGGUAAGGGGAGAUCAUUUUUCAAAUCAUAAAUGACGGGGAUAGACUUUGGUAAGAGCCUAAGGGGAGAUAUUUUUGUUAAUUAAGGUUGAUAAACUUUGGUAAGGGGAGAUAAUUUUUCCAAAUCAAUAAAUGACGGGAUAGACUUUGGUAAGAGCCUAAGGGGAGAUAUUUUUUGUUAAUUAAGGUUGAUAGACUUUGGUAAGGGGAGAUAAUUUUUCAAAUAAUAAAUGACGGGGAUAGACUUUGGUAAGAGCCUAAGGGGAGAUAGUUUUGUUAAUGAAGGAUGAUAAACUUUGGUAAGGGGAGAUAAUUUUUCAAAUCAUAAAUGACGGAGAUAAUUUUUCAAAUCAUAAAUGACGGGGAUAGACUUUAGUAAGAGCCUAAGGGGAGAUAUUUUUGUUAAUGAAGGUGGACAGACUUUGGUAAGAGGUGAUAAUUUUUUAAUGAAGGAGAAUAAACUUGGGUAAGGCGAGAUGAUUGAGGGGGAGAUAAUUCUUUUAAUUACAACUGGUGUUUUUUUUUAAAGUUGUGUCCCCUUUAAUGAAAAAAAACCCAGAUUUGAUAGUUACAUUAAUGGAAAAAAAUGAGACUUACAC
rnacentral:lncRNA from 1 species